AUGCCUACUCUCUACAUUCAAGAACUCUCUCAAGCUUUCUGGAGCAUUUCUGAAUAUCAAGGACGAUUUCUAGUGUUCACUAAACAUAAAUAGGACCCUUGUAAGCUCUCAAUUCAAUCUUUAAUCCGUUCUUGUUGUGAUUAUUGCUAAAAGUCAAACUGGUUGUUCAUAAGCUUUGACUUUCUGAUUAAACAAGUUUCAAUCAGUCAUUUCUCGAAUUGAGACCUGAUACAUGUUGGUAAUAUUAUGGGAAACAAACCCUCAAAAGGGUACUCUCUGAUUCCCACUACAUGCAUGCUAAAUGUCGAGUCAAACCUAUUUCUAAAAAGUCAACAAAAGCGAUUUUUGUGAAAAAUGACAUGAAUAAUGAUAUAGAUGACAUGCAAUCUGUUUGAUCUUCAUAGAAAGCUUUAUUAUGAAUAUAAGAAUGUAUUUUACCACGAUCAACUCGACGAUCUUUAGUGUAAACCCGGAUUGGAACCGAAAGUCUUAAUAAACGACUUUUUCGUAAACUAUCGGUUCGGAUCCGUACAUGCAUGUGUGAGAUCUGUAUUUUAGAGCAUUUUUGACCAUUGGCAUUUUAGUUAAACUUUCUGGAAAUUUUAUGUCAUAAGUCUAUGCUUAGCCGAUUCGAAUGCAUGUUUCCGAUUUAUGCAUAAAGUUGACUAUUUUGCCCUUUUUGAUAUAAAACGGGAUUUUUGGAAAAGUGAAAGAGUAGAAAUCUUUAUUUCUAAUAUAUAAACUUGCACCGAAAAUUUCGGAUCAGUUGGUGGUCCAGAUUGUGAGUUAUGGCCAUUAGCGUAAAACUAUAUUAUAAAUUUACAUAAACGGCCCUUUUCGCGUAGAACCCGUUUCUGGCCACGUUUUGAUACGAAACUCUUUACCAACAGAAGUAAUAUAAUAUUCUGGGAAUUUUGAUGAUUUUUAAUUAAUUUUUGGCUGAACGGAUCCUAGAUCGCCUAGUCAAUUCGGCUUAUGUCGGUUUUGACCGUUUUAGCCAUAAAAUGAGUUUUACACAUUCUUUUGACCCGAAACCUUUUUCUACUGAUUUUAUAUGAUGAAUAAAUUAUUUUAAGUAUUCUGGAAAUAUAAAAAUCUCAGAUUUAAUUUGAAAACCCGAAAACGCCCUUAGAUCGCAUAUUUAGCGUUUUAAGCGCAUAGUAAGCGUUAUACUUGUUUUAAACAUGUAAGACUUAUACCUACUGAUGUAAUUAGCCUAUUUUCAUAUAAUAACAGUAAGUAUAAGUAUAUGAUCUCAGAUUUCCAGUUUUUGGCAUUUUUAGCCCUUGUGAAAUUACUAAAAUACCCCUACGGUGCAUAGUUUGGUUUUAAAUGAUAAAUUUGGUAUAUGGGUCAUACCCUACUGAUAUAAUAUGUUAUAUUAAGUAUAUUUACUGUAUGAACCAGACCCUAAACUCAGAUUUCUAAUUUUACUCUUUUAUUAUCUUUUAAAUGACCAAAAUGCCCUUCUAAGGCAAAAAUUGAGUUUAAAAUUAUUCCGGGCAAUAUAGAACAUAACUUACUGAUGUUAUAUCAUAAUUAAAGCAUAUUAUAUCAGGGAACUUGCAUUUGAAUCAUUGGUCUACCCGUAUCGCCCUUUUCGCGCUCGGUUCGGUUUAUGUAACUAGUUUGCAUAGAUUAACCGAAGCGGGUCAAACGUUAUCAUUUUUGUCUCAAAAUCCAGAAUGUAUUUAGUAUACCCAUAUUAUACGAGUAUUUAAACUUGUCGGGUCUAAAUCACGUUCUAUCCGGUCUUCGCUUAAUCGUGCGCUUGAACCGUAUAUUUCCUUAAAACUAACCGGUCUAAGCUUAGGCUUAAUUAAAGACCCGUUAGUAUUCUAAUUGGUUAUUUAUACCAUCGUUCCAGACUAGAGCCUUCCGGUAAAUUGUACCUACGCUUACUUAAGUGAAUACGGCUGAGUUAUUAUAAUUCUUGCUAUUUAAGACAGGAGCUAGCUCAGGUAAAUACUCUUAACUUAUUUUCCCUAUUACGGGCUUGGGAUACGGUAAUAUAAAUACCGCAUGGUCAGGUAUGGGAUUCGAAGACCAAUGUGUCGGGAAAUUCAAAUAACCUGUUUUAAUUCGUAUUGCUUGACUGAAACAUUGGGGGUUAAUGCGACCGUGUCCUGGAUAUCCUUGACUCAUUAAAUUGCAAUGGCCACGACCUAAGCACGGGGUGUAGGCAUACACCUGACAGAUGCUUUAUGCUUAUUACUUGAUUAUACCCAAUAUGGGAUUCCCAAUAAGGGAAUAGUGGUGUGUCGGUUAAUCUUGAACCGGCAUAGGACCGGGCCCCGUAUGUAGAGCAAGUUAUGUAAAACUGAUAACAUGAGAUAUAGUUUGUCCCAAGUAUAAAAGAUUAAUAUUGCCUUGUGCAUCUUAAUCAAGUGUCAAAAUAGUUUUGUGCCUUGUGCGCCUAAACCAAUUUUCAUAAACUCUUUUCAAAUGAGUCAGUUGAGUGUAUUUACCAGUGAAAACUGACGUAUUUUCCAAAGUCUAAGUGACAGGUACAAGUACGUAAUAGGCUGGAAGCUGCUCAGGGCGUUAGUAAGGAAUCUUGCAAGUUCUAGGCGUCUAAAGUCUGUUGAACAUUUAUCUUAUUUUAUUUGAUCCGCCUGUGGAUCCGUUUCAACUACUUGUAAUAUUAAAUAUUACGUUUAUGUAAAGUUGAAAUGAAUCUAUU
rnacentral:lncRNA from 1 species